rnacentral:rRNA from 1 species
ACGCGUGAAGUUGCCCGCUUGGGAGUACGCCCGCAAGGUUGAAACUCAAAGAAUUNACGGGACCCGCACAAGCGGUGGAUGAUGUGGUUUAAUUNGAUGCAACGCGAAAAACCUUACCUACCUUUGACAUGUACGGAACUCGCCAGAGAUGGCUUGGUGCUCGAAAGAGAACCGUAACACAGGUGCUGCAUGGCUGUCGUCAGCUCGUGUCGUGAGAUGUUGGGUUAAGUCCCGCAACGAGCGCAACCCUUGUCAUUAGUUGCUACAUUUAGUUGGGCACUCUAAUGAGACUGCCGGUGACAAACCGGAGGAAGGUGGGGAUGACGUCAAGUCCUCAUGGCCCUUAUAGGUAGGGCUACACACGUCAUACAAUGGAUGGUACAAAGGGUCGCCAACCCGCGAGGGGGAGCCAAUCCCAUAAAGCCAUUCGUAGUCCGGAUCGCAGUCUGCAACUCGACUGCGUGAAGUCGGAAUCGCUAGUAAUCGUGGAUCAGAAUGUCACGGUGAAUACGUUCCCGGGUCUUGUACACACCGCCCGUCACACCAUGGGAGCGGGUUCUGCCAGAAGUAGUUAGCCUAACCGCAAGGAGGGCGAUUACCACGGCAGGGUUCGUGACUGGGGUGAAGUCGUAACAAGGU